rnacentral:lncRNA from 10 species
CAAGACCUUUGGCCGUGUCUCCCCCCUUUCCAGGCUUAUUUAAUAACUAUGAUGUAACCCUAUUGGACUUCUUCCUGUGGUAGUUGAAGUUUAAGUCUCUUACACUCGACAUCUUUUUUCUAGCACGACUCUCCCUGUUUCCUCAUACGUCUAUCACUAGUUUUGGCUAAAUAACAUUUAUUUACUGCUAAGCUCAGUUAUGCACUGUGAUUCUUUGUCUUCUGUUAUAUAGCUUUUCAUUUUUCCUGGAAUUAAUAUUUGCAUGAUUGUUUUCCUUUUUUAUUAUCUGUCCACAUAAUUACUGAUGCAAUAACGAUUCUAAGUGUCCACACAUAUUAAAUUAUCUGAUAGCUUCCUAACCACCAGGAACACCGCCCCCUUCUU